rnacentral:rRNA from 1 species
AACGAACGCUGGCGGCAGGCUUAACACAUGCAAGUCGAGCGCCCCGCAAGGGGAGCGGCAGACGGGUGAGUAACGCGUGGGAAUCUACCCAUCUCUACGGAAUAACGCGUGUAAACGGGUGCUAAUACAGUAUACGGCAGUCGGGAGAAAGAUUUAUCGGAGAUGGAUGAGCCCGCGUUGGAUUAGCUAGUUGGUGGGGUAAAGGCCUACCAAGGCGACGAUCCAUAGCUGGUCUGAGAGGAUGAUCAGCCACACUGGGACUGAGACACGGCCCAGACUCCUACGGGAGGCAGCAGUGGGGAAUAUUGGACAAUGGGCGCAAGCCUGAUCCAGCCAUGCCGCGUGAGUGAUGAAGGCCCUAGGGUUGUAAAGCUCUUUCACCGGUGAAGAUAAUGACGGUAACCGGAGAAGAAGCCCCGGCUAACUUCGUGCCAGCCGCCGCCGUAAGAC